UUAUUUCACCAACCCAUUAAAUAUUUCCAUCCAAGCAAUGCAAUCAACAAAAAAAUCCAAACAAAGUCGAUACCCAACCCACUCGCCUUUCUCUUCUUCCUCGCGUGAGCAGACGCAAAAAUUAGAACGCCAGUGAAUCCAGAUACUAGCAAGCCAUGGAGAGGUUCAGGCGCGUGAACAGCGAGAGCAAGUGUAACGGAAAGUGGGGAAGAGCAGGCCAAUAUCAUGCCCUCAACUCAUUUGAUUCGCAACAACAGAGCAAGGCACGCGAAUUAGUCCUUGACGUGGCGAGAUGAGUCCACGUAGAGUCUCAAGUACGAGGCAACCGAUCUCAAGUGUCGAUUCUCCCCUCCCUUUCUGAAAUGAGACGAUUUUUUUCAGAAAAGGGUUGUCGAUCCAAAAUUGGAAAAGGGUUUUUGAAAUUCAAACUUAGGGUGGGCCUUUCCCAUCAAGAUCCGAUCGUAUUUUCACCCUAAAAGUCCACUAGUUUGUCUCCUAUAUAUACUCUUUCGUCUUUACUAUGAGAGAAGGGAUUUUUUUUGAGAAAUAUUAAGACGGAAUUACAGAGAAUCGAAAAAAAAGGAAGAAAUUUUGGUCUCAGUAAGGAAAAUUAAAAAAGUUGGCUACUAUUUUUACCCAUCCCAAUAGAACAACUUAGGAUAAAUAGAGUUUGUCACUUGUGUUUUAGGUUCUCAUCUGUUUGGGUUGAAGAAGUCGUCUCCAACUCGUUUCUCAUCUCGGCUUGCUGCACCUCGAAAGCAUUUUCCUGUUGGGAUGAGACCUAGUUGAUCCUUUUGAGUUGACUUCAUCAAUUCGAAAGUCCACUGGGAAGGCCCCGCAAAAUUUCUUCUCUCAAGUCAGCCAUAAAAAUCGGCGUACUUUUCAGAGUUUGAAGAAUAUGAAGCUAGUUGAAAAGUUGAAGUUUUGGGGCCCAAAGUUCACACAUUUUUUAAUGUUAUAUUUUGUUAAUUUUUGAGCCAAAGGCCAUUAGUAUUAACUGUCUGAUUAGUAUGGGACAUGUACAAAAAUAAAUGGGUCAAAAAUCCAAAACAAAUGGGUCCAAAUACUGAUCCAGGCAAACAGAAAGCCCGAAUUAUAACCAAUCUCUCUCUCUCUCUCUUUCUUAUUUGCUUAA